ACGGAGCUCUGACUAAUCAUUUGCGCAAUGACCUUUUUUCCCCCCUGAGAGAGAGAACGAGGGAGAGCGAGAAAGAGAGAUAGAGCGAGCAGGAAGGAAAGAGGGAGCUGAGCGAUGGAGAGACCUGGAGGGAUGGACUGGGGCCAGAAACCCACUGGACUCUCAGAGAGGCCAAUGUGAACUACUGUAUAUGAAAUCAGCAGUGUUGUCCCCACUUUUCACCAAAUUCCAAAUAACUAGCGAAUUAUAAUUUUGUAGACGAGCUGUGAUCCUGUGCAAGAUGCGUGGAAGAUCGAGAAAUCCUAACAGAAUAUAAAUACCAUCAGCCAGAUGCGAGCUCAAAACGGGGUAUCUUCACAAACUAUGCUGGAAACUCCUGACUGCCAAACCAACGCGUUUCGUCUUAUCAACUUCAUCAGGGGUAACAGUUUUUCCCCCCAAAACGAAACAUCUACAAAAAAACAUUAGAAGGCGGAAGCUGUGCAGAGGCAGAAGGAGUAUACUUAGCACAUCUUUCCCGUGUACGGAACAGUAAAUGUCCAAACCAUAGCAUUACUAUGGAGAAGGUUUGUCUUGCCAGCCUUGCAAUAUUUCCGGAUCUGCUGGUGAAUUAGGCAGCAUAGUGGAGCAGUGUGGCAGAAACACAGCUCAUUAACGUCUCUCGCAUUCAUUAACAUUCACAGAGUGUCGGCUCUCCUGCUAACAUGCCAGGCCUACGUAUGAGGAAUAUGCGAAGGGAAGUCUUCUUUGAUGCCUGGCUUUUAUUUUCUGUGCGUGGAUGAAGGGUAUCAAAAAUAUUUUGUUCGUUAACAUUGUGAGAUCUGAUAUAUACCAUUAGAGAUAUUUAAGAUGGGAGUUUGGGAUGUGAUUAGUGGCACAAAGAAGGAAGCAAGAUAACACAACAGUUAUGUUAUUGCGUUACACUGUCUUGUCCAAACCUGGAAUAUACA